rnacentral:rRNA from 1 species
GUGGGGAAUAUUGGACAAUGGGCGCAAGCCUGAUCCAGCCAUGCCGCGUGAGUGAUGAAGGCCCUAGGGUUGUAAAGCUCUUUCACCGGUGAAGAUAAUGACGGUAACCGGAGAAGAAGCCCCGGCUAACUUCGUGCCAGCAGCCGCGGUAAUACGAAGGGGGCUAGCGUUGUUCGGAAUUACUGGGCGUAAAGCGCACGUAGGCGGACAUUUAAGUCAGGGGUGAAAUCCCAGAGCUCAACUCUGGAACUGCCUUUGAUACUGGGUGUCUUGAGUAAGGAAGAGGUAAGUGGAAUUACGAGUGUAGAGGUGAAAUUCGUAGAUAUUCGGAGGAAGACCAGUGGCUAAGGCGGCUUAGUGGUCCAUUACUGACGCUGAGGUGCGAAAGCGUGGGGAGCAAACAGGAUUAGAUACCCGGGUAGUCC